rnacentral:rRNA from 1 species
UACGAGAGGCCCAAACGUUAUUCGGAUUUACUGGGCUUAAAGAGUUCGUAGGCCGCGCAGUAAGUAGGGUGUGAAAGCCCUCGGCUCAACCGAGGAAUUGCGCUCUAAACUACUGUGCUUGAGGAACCUAGAGGUGAGCAGAACUGAUGGUGGAGCGGUGAAAUGCGUUGAUAUCAUCAGGAAUACCGGAGGCGAAGGCGGCUCACUGGGGGUUUUCUGACGCUGAGGAACGAAAGCCAGGGGAGCGAACGGG